rnacentral:lncRNA from 1 species
AGAGCUGAUCACACGCAUAUAUUUGUCUUGUGUUUAUUCCACCAUUUAACAGGUAGAAGUGCCCAGAAUGACUCACGCACACAUACCGAUUCUGGACCUGCGGAUGAAAUGUUGCUCCGUUUUACAAUGUCUCACUGUGGCGGGAAGAAGCACUAAAUGAGCUCUAAGUCGGGGACAUCAUUGAGCUCAGUCACCUAAAAAUAAACACAAGACCAGAUGGAAGAGGAAAAUUUGACUUAUCCAAUCACACAACUUUUAAGCUUAUUGAUAGGCAUAUCCAGGAGGCAGUUCUUGAGAUCAUUGCAGUGUUAGAAAUGCCCAAUAAGCUCAUCCUCCUGGACAGCCAUAUGGAUGAAUACAUAGUGCCUGUACAUUUCUAUGCAGGUACUAUUAAGUGGCUGGCAAACCAGCUCCCUCUUCAGUUAAAACUCAGGUACAUCUGUGUAAGCGUCCUCCACAAGGAACCUGCCGAUCAGGUCCCAUGGAGGAUCUGCUGACCCCGAUCAGGUUCAUCCAAAAGACAUUCAGGACCCAAUGGACUGCAUUUUCUAUUGUUUGUAAAGAAAAGUUCAAGGGAUGUUCAUUAAACUUUCACCU